rnacentral:rRNA from 1 species
AGCGAACGCUGGCGGCAGGCCUAACACAUGCAAGUCGAACGAACUCUUCGGAGUUAGUGGCGGACGGGUGAGUAACACGUGGGAACGUGCCUUUUGGUUCGGAAUAACUCAGGGAAACUUGUGCUAAUACCGGAUGUUCCCUUCGGGGGAAAGAUUUAUCGCCAUUAGAGCGGCCCGCGUCUGAUUAGCUAGUUGGUGAGGUAACGGCUCACCAAGGCGACGAUCAGUAGCUGGUCUGAGAGGAUGACCAGCCACACUGGGACUGAGACACGGCCCAGACUCCUACGGGAGGCAGCAGUGGGGAAUCUUGCGCAAUGGGCGAAAGCCUGACGCAGCAAUGCCGCGUGAAUGAUGAAGGUCUUAGGAUUGUAAAAUUCUUUUACCGGGGACGAUAAUGACGGUACCCGGAGAAGAAGCCCCGGCUAACUCCGUG